GCAGUUUCAUAUGCAAAGCAUGCGUCCUCCACAUCCAUGCUAUCUCCUGAAGCAGUUGUUCUGAAACCCAAUCUGGGGACAGUGCAGACUAAAUAAAAUUUCAUUUUGAUUUGGCCUCCCGCUGCGAAUGGGCCUGCUUUGUCUCAGCGGACAGAAGCAGCAAGCCAGAAAGGUGUUGAAUACUAAAAUACUGACUGAAAGGAAAAUUGAAUAAGUGCUGCUCUGAUGCUCCGGAGAUUUUACUGGAAGAUUUGUCGCGCUGAAUUUUAUUGUAAAUUUGAAGAUGCAGUUAACAGCUUUGAAGGACUUUAGCUUUCAUGGCCCUUGUGAGCUGCUUUGGCAGAAAAGCAAUCGCCCAUUUUAGAGAAGGAGGGAAAAUAGAACAUAAAGACUCUUCCAUGGGACUAAAUUGUUGUGCCAUCUUGGUACAGUUUGUAUAAAAUGCAUUGUGAUGCUUACUGAACUACUGCAAAAGAUGGCUCCUUUUAAACAAUGACCUUCACUGGGAGCCAGGAGAGUCUGGCUGUGUCAAAUGCUCAUCUUACCCUCGUCCCACCUUUCGGAGAAGUAUUGGCGAUGAAGGGACAGCCUGCUGUGCUACUCUCAGAAGACGCUGUAGAUAAGGAAAUGGACCAAGACACUCCUGAACAUGACUCGCUGAGCUGAGGGGACAGUGGGAAGCAGAGACAUUAAAAGAUGGACAUCAGGCAUCCAGCAGGCACAUCUGCUAGGGCCUGAAGCAAUGCAGAAGAGGCUGAGUGUCCAGGAGGAAAGCGUGUUUUUCUGCCUCUUAAAGGAACAUGUUACAGAUUUGAUGACCACAGAGAAAAAAGUCCUGACACACGCACCUCAAUUAGAGUCCCUCGGGUGUGAUAUUUUUCAAUCACCAAUUUUUGACAAUACUGGGUUUUUACAUAGGGUAGAAUUCCGACUACAGUUUCCGUGAUUCACAAUGGUGACUAUUGGCAAACUGCUUUCUCCCCAGCAAAAUCAUUCCGCCCAGGGCUGAGGUUGCUGAUUCUGAGCCUUCGUUAUUUUCAGCUGGUGAAAGAAGGAGUUCAUGAAGUCCUGCUCCGUAGGAAAGUUUCGGAUAAUAUUCUUUCUCAAAUGAAUACGCGUUUAACAACCACAAAAGUCCUAAGUCCCUAGCCGGCUGUGAUUUUUGUCAAUACCCCCACCUUCCUCGAGUGAAAACUCCAUAGACUCAGAAGCCAAAGGACCUUUUGAAAAAAAUGCCACUUUCAGAUUUCAGCCAGAGCCACAGCUGAGCCGACAAGGCAGGGUUCUAACAAGACAGUUGCUUGCUGCCGGCUACUGUUCCUACUUUUGUUUCCUAGGGAAACGAACAGGGGCAAAUUGAAAGAGUGAUUAUCUGAAGGCUCCACUGUCUUCCUCAUCCUGAGUCCCCAGUGUUCCCACCCGGAAUGGGCGCGGAAGAGGAGGGGACACGUCAAGCCUGUCAGUCUGGGCUCUGCUCCUUGGCAGAGAGCUGAAAAUUCUGGCUUUUCAAACAAGCUGCAGAAAUCUCUGUUCUUGUACUUUUAAGACAAAAAUGGUAGUCGAACACCAACGUCACCUCACCCUGCCCUUCUGUACCUUCCUUUUGCAGUGUGGUUUUGAAGGAGGAAGAACAGCAGCACCUUUUGUGUGUACUGCUGGGGCUCCAAGUUUGUUCUGUGAAUUAACCCUUGAAUAACUGGCUCCCAGGAAAGGUGGGACACUGUAUUUGUGAAUGUGAGGAAUGGGUUUAUCCAGUGGAUAAUUUAUUCCAACCUUGGCUAUUUCUGCUGUUCCCUUUCCAAUGAACAUCUCUUUAUUUACCACCCCACUUGACAGGAAGUUGAAAAAAAAAGGGCCAGAGGUACAAGAAAUAGCACUUAUUCAGAAAACAUAAAUUACUAUUACUCUUCCUACUGCUGAAUUGGACUUAACUUAAAAAUGAGUGCUGUCUUUACAUGGAUCAAGCUGUCCCUGCCCUCUAUUGGUAACUAUUUCUCUGGGUGACUUUAAAAAAAUCACUACACUUCCAUUUUGAGAGUUCCGUAUAUUUACUGACUCAGCUUCCCCGGUGCUGCCAAGAUUUUAUUUUAAUCACAUGGUGUUAUGGUUUAAUAACAUUACAUUUUGAGACCGAAUAGAUCAUUAAGUAAGGGGAUGGUUUCUCAGGAUGCCUCCCAUUGUCAUGGAGAGGGAAUGCUGAUGAUUAUGGCUGUGAUAGCAUCUAGCAUUAUCUCAAGCUUACUACAUACCAGACACCUGACAUGUGUCUUCCCAAUUAAUUCUCCCAACAAUGUUUUGAGGCACUUACUGUUAUCCUUAUUUUGCAGAUGAGAAAACUAAAGCUGUCCUACAUAACUCCAAGAGAACUGAUUACAAAUCUGGGCCUUUCUGACUCAGAAGCCCGUGUUCAGAACCAUCGAGCUACGUCACAAUUUUACCUCCCCUUCCAUUCCCUGGCAGAGAAGAGGGUGGGGAAAGACAGAAAAUGAUGGUUCAAGUCCUGCUUGCCCUCAUAGACAGAAAGAUCGCCCAAAUUUCCACCAGCUCCCUGGAUGGCACGGUAUGGGCACUGGUCGGGAGCUGAAGGUAAUCAGGGAGAAGGAAAGCUGUUCCCAGAAAGAGCUAAGAAUAGAGAUUUGGAUUGCCUUUUUCCACCAGCCUUGGUGACAGUGACUUCCCACCCUGCUCCCUUUCUCAUCUGCAGAGGAGAGGCAGUGUGUAUGUGUGUGCAUGCUUGUGUGUGUAUGUGUGUGUAUAUGUGUGUGUGUGUGCCUAGAGUCAUUGUCCCCGCCAGCUCGGCCCUGUUGUUCCCUAAUGCCGGGUGGGCCCCAGGGCCUGGUCCUGACACAAGGGGGACAGACACGCAGGAGAUAAAGGACUACUGAGGUAGGCUGGCUUCCAGGCAUCUUGGGCAAAGAGAAAGCUAUAAUGUUUAUGCAGGGCAAAGGCUGUGCUGGACAUGUUCUGAACCUUCCAGAGACAAACUUCCUGCCUCUCUGCACACACACACACACACACACACACACACACUCACAAGAACACACCACAUUUUAUGCUUGUCUUAGGGCCACAAAUGUCCUGUCAGCACAAAAUUGCCCAAAAUUCUUUGACAAAGGUAAGAAAAUACAUUUAUCUUACAAAUUGUGAUUAAUACUACAGCCAAUCAAAUACCUUAUGUAUGUAAUGUUUUUAAAAUCUGACCAAAGACACACAACUAUUUCUCAGGCUCAAGAGGCAGAGGGACAGGAAGUCAGAGGCCACUAAGAAAUUUGUCAUCUCCAGGGGAAGGUCAGAGAGAGGGUCUUACCUUCCACACCAUGACAAAUAGAUUCUCAAACAAAUCUACUAUUAGAGACUAAACUCUUCUAUUGAUUCCUGGUCAAUAACAAUAUUUUUGAGACAACUUUUUAUGUAUUUCUUGAGAGAUACAUUUUAGACUGUCAGAGCACAACUCUAAAAUCACUUCUGAAGAGUUAUUUUGUGAAUUAAAAAUGUAUAGCAUUUUCAAAGGGCAACUUUCUAAAAUCUUUAGUUCAAAAAAAUCCUAAUUAAAGGGGCCAGGGAUUUAGUUCAGUGGUGCUGCCACCUGCCUCCCAACUGCAAGGUCCCGAGUUCAAUACCCAGUACAGAAAAAACAAUCCUAAUUACCAGCUGCAGUAAUUAUAUUAUAUACAUAGAGAAGUAUAUAUGUGUCUAUGUAUGUACAUAGUUAUACAUUUAUACAGGAGUCCCAAUUUACUAAUGUCCUAAUGUUUUAAAUUCCCCAGUAGAUACCUGAAACUAUGGUUAAUACUGAAUGCUAUCUACAUUUUGUUAUUUCCUAAACACACAUGGUACAGUUUAAUUUGUAAAUUAGGUGUGGUGAGAGAUGGACAGCAAUAACUGAUAAUAAAAUAGUUACACCAAAACCAUGGUCAGCAUCACUACCUUUGUGACUUGAGGUCUUUAUUAAUUAAAAUGAGGAUUCUGUAACAUAAGCAGUGCAGUACUGCCAUAGUCAGUCUGAUAUCCAAGAGAGCUAUGAAGUGACUAACAGGUGGACAGCAUAUACCACGUGGAUGCACUGGACUAAGGAAUGACUAGAUAGUGUGAAAUUUUAUCAUGCUAAUUGGAGUGGCACAAGAUGGAAUUUCCCAGAGUAUGGUUGUCAAUGGAUAACUGAAACUACAGAAAACAAAGGUGCAAAUAAGGAGGAAGUACUGUACACCUAAGUCCUUCUUUUAAUGGAGGGUUCAUGAGAGCAUAGAGUCAAAACCCUGAGAAACCUGAGUCAGAACUCUGAGUUUGAGCCCAAGCUCUGCUGUUUACUAGCUGUCUGCACGUGGACCAAUUUCUUAACUUCCCGUGUCUUAGUUUCUUCAUCUCUAAAAUAGAGAGCAGUAGCAGACUGUGUCUCCAGCACAACAAUAAGCACAGAGUGUCUGUUAGAUGAGUGAGCUAUCUCUGGGAUGCUAAUUCUGCUCACAACCAUCUAACAAAGCCAGCCCUCCAAUCCCUGUCUGAUAGAAACUGUGUUCUAAUUCCUCCUUGCAAAACUGUGUUUCGGUGACACAGUCAACGUGGAGUGGAUUCGAAUCUUUCCAGACCAUGUUCCUCACACUAAAAUUCACCACCACCUCUGCUUAACUGGGACUUGUCCAUGAAUAUUCUUUCAUUACCUUCUGUUUUUAAAGUUACAUUAUUUUAUUUGAAGACAGUCUUCACAUUUUAUGGAUCUUAAUGUUUCAAUGACUAUGACGUGUUUAAAGUUGACUUAUGAAUUUAAAUAUAUACAUAUUUUAAUUUUAUUUUAAAUUUAUUAAUGUAGAAUUUGCUUUUAAAACUACUAACAAACAAAUAAAAUUACACAUAUUUGUGAGUACCAUGGGAUCACUGGAUGCACAUAAAUACCAUGCAAUGUUUAAAACAGAUUAAGCAUUUCCAGCUCCUCAAAUGCUUUAUCAUUUCUGUGGUGAAAACAUUCAAACUACUUUCUUAUAGCUUUAGGGAAUAUACCAACAUCAUCAUCAUUACCUAGAGUCUCCUCACUGCAAUAGCACCUUUCUACUUCUCACUUCCAUCUAACCAUAACUCAGUGACCAUCGAUCAACUUCUGCACACACUUUACCAGCCCUAACUUCAGGUAAUAGCCAUUCCAUUUUCAACUACUGUGAAAUCCACUUCUUUUUCUAUUUCACAUGUGAAUGAGAUCAUGUGGUACCUGUCUUUCUGUGCAUGGGUCAUUUAUCUUAACUUAGCAAUGUUUUAUUCCAUCCAUGAUGGUAUGACUAAUGGCGUUUCAUUCUUUUUCAAGGUCAAAUAAUAUUCCAUUUGUGGUUUUGUGUCAUAUUUUUAAAUCAGUUGAAUACUCAGUUCUUAUGAAUAGCAAUACAAUAAACAUUGGAGUGGAGUUGUCUCUUCAAAAUACCGAUUUCAUUUUCUUUGGAGAUAGACCUAAGGAAUAGAAUUGCUAGAUCACACAGUAGCUCUAUUUUUAAUUUCUUGUGGAUAUUUGAGGGUUUUUUGUUUUUUUUUUUUUUACAUUUGUGAUACUGGGGAUUGAAUCCAAGUCCUUCAACUUGAGCUAUGUUCCCAGUGCUUUUCAUUUUUAAUUUUGAGAUAGGAUAUUGCUAAGUUUCUAAGUUGCCCAGGCUGGGCUCAAACUUGUAGUUCUCUGGGUCCUGGUGCAUUGAGUUUUUCAGUUCUAGAGUUCUUCAUACAUACUAAAUAUUUAUUCCUUGUCAGAGGCAUAAUUUGCAAAUAUUUUCUCCCAUUGUCUAGAUGGACUCUGUACUCUGUUGAUUGAUUGCUUUGUUGAGCAGAAACAGUUCAGCUUGUUAUAAUCUUAUUUGUCUGGUUUUUCUUUUUGUUUCCUGUGGUCCUUUCCCCCCAAACCCUUGUCCAUUCUAAUGUCCUGAGGCAUUUCCCCUCUUUUCCUCUAGGAGUUUUAUAAUUUCAGGCCCUCAUUUAAGUCUUUCAUCCAUUUUGAUGUUUCUAGCUGAUGGGAGAUAGGGAUCUAUACACACAUGCGCGCACGCACACACACACACACAGGAGCUCAAUAUAGAGCAACUUCGUCAGAGCUGAGAUGCCAAAGAAGGAAAGAAAUAAGAGACUUGUCAAUAAAUGGAGCUAGGACAACUCAGAGAAAAAAGUCAUCAAAAAGAUAAAAUCAGAUACUCAUACUAUCUGAAAAAAUUAUAUACAUAUAUUAAUAUAUACAGAACAGUGUUACAAAAAUCAAAACUAAACAUUUUUAGUGGAACAUGUAAGAGAAUGUAUUUUUGACAGCAAAUUUCAGAAGAAUUUCUUAGAUCACAACAAAAGAGAACCUGAAAGAUUGACUGAUUUGUCUCCAUUUAAAAAAUCCAUGAACUCCAAGUUCAUAGUUCCUGAUUCUACCUCCACGGUCUGUUUGUUUAACCUUCCAUGAAUACCACAAUGAUUUUGUCACUUCCACUUACAGUACAUUUUGCAAUCUGUUUUCCUCUUUUCAUUAUUAUUCUUUUAUGGUGGCAUUGCUUUUGUCUACGUGAUUUUUACUUCCCUUUUGCAUUUCACCACUUUCUUUAGGGUUCAAAUUUUUAUUAGUAAAGUAAGCCUUCCUUGCUUGUGAAUGGCGAGCAAUCUGAAUCUUUGUCUGAAAAUGUCUGCAUUUCGAUCUCAGGGUCAAGUGAUUAUUUAUCUGUAUUUGAAGCUCUGUACUAACAGUUUAGUUGUGUUCUCCCAGCCCACUUAAGAUGUUUUUCCAUUGUCUCCUCUGUUUCUGGCUUCUGAACAGUUUCCGCUCAGGAGCUCAGCCUUGUGCUUAAAAGAGUUUUCAUUAAAUCCCAUCUUGCUUUCUGGAAUCUGUGCUGAGAGGACUUUGGGGUUUUGUGACCCACCAAGCCCCAGCACCAGAAACCUUAGGAUUCUCACCAGAGUUCAGCCAGGGGCCACCUGGGAGAGGACACAAGAUGGAGUCAACGGUAUAAUGUCCAGACACUAUGAAAGUCUUCAUCCUGUUUUUAAAUUAGGGGGUGUCAUCCAAAUAUAUGGUGAAUAUUUAAUGUUUUUAAUUAAUUAUACUAAAAGACACAUUGCCAAGAAUGAUGGGAUUAAUGUGUUCAAAGUGAGGAAGAAUAUUUUGAUGGGGGUUAAAAUCAUUGUGUAUUUUACUGUAAUACAUUUUUUAAAAUUUUAGCAUUCAUUGUAUGUUUUAAUCAUCCAUUGUUGAUCAAUGGUUUAUGGAAAUUUCUGUCAAAUAAAAACAUGACAGUGUGUCCCCAGCCACCAUAUUCACUGGAUCUACUACCGUGUGACUUCUGGCUCUUUUCCAAAGUCAAAAUGACCAUAAAAGGUCAACAUUUUGAAUCAAUUCAGGACAUCAAGGCAGCUAUGACAGCACAAGUAAUGACACUCAUGAAAGAAGACUUCCAGAACUUCUUCACACAGUGGCAAGAAUCAUGGGAUAAAUGUCUAAAGGAAGGGGGAGUGUUCUAAAGGGACUGAAUGACAAUCUGUUUUUACUACAAUAAAAAUUUAAGAUUUAA
ensembl:lncRNA